rnacentral:siRNA from 1 species
AGGUCAAUUAAGACCCGCCGGUCC